rnacentral:ncRNA from 1 species
GUUAAAACGGUAACGAAGGACCAGUAUUGAUGUCACCCUGUUUUCAGAGAGUUGGCGGCAGGUGGGAGCCAACCAGGAUCAUCAGGAACUCCCCUUUCGAGUUGCAGGUGUGAAAGAAAACGGUUUAUCCCGAUUUUUUCCGGUAAUGCUUGCCGUUCUCUGCGUUAAGGAACAAUCAAGUGAGUGAGCUAUACGCUAAAAAUGGGUGGUACCGCGGGAGAAAUCACACCUCUCGUCCCAGGA